AUGCUUGCUUCAGCAGCACAUAUACUAAAAUUGGAAUGAUGCCAAGAUUAGCAUGGCCCCUGCUCAAGGAUGACAUCCAAAUUCGUGAAGCAUUCCAUCUUUUU
ensembl:snRNA U6 U6 spliceosomal RNA